CUGCGCUUAGCUGAACAGACGUGACUCCGGAGCACUGCACUUUUGAGAGGAAUUCUGCAGAUGCUGGAAAUUCAAGCAACACACAUCAAAGUUGCUGCUGAACGCAGCAGGCCAGGCAGCAUCUCUAGGAAGCGGUGCAGUCGACGUUUCAGGCCGAGACCCUUCGUCAGGACUAACUGAAGGAAGAAUUCUCAACAACUCAGCUACGCAGCAAGGGCAAUUUACAGUGACUAAUAAAUGUGCCAGCCAACAUGACCUUGAGAUGACUUUGACACAGACCUAGGGAGAAGGUAUAAACUCCACAAGACGGCACCAAAGAUUAGGUUUGAACCUAGGUCAAUAGAACUGUGUACCAAUGUUCGUGACCUGAAUGAACUAUUGGAAGGACAGAAAAAGUAGAUCCCAUAGAGUUUUCAAAGAAGAAUCAGGAGGAAGGUGCCAGCGUUCGAUCGGUCUCUCUUUUCCUCUUGUUCUAUGCUGCCAGAGGAUGGUGCCGAGUCUCAGAUCUUGGGUGAGAUUUAAUCAACGCAGUUUGUGGAUGGAUCUCUGUUGUUCAUGUUAUGAUGUGUUUCUGCUUUCUGCUUGCUUCUUUGUUUAUUGUUAUUUUAUGCAAUUUUGACUGGAUCAAACUGGCUCUGAAGCCUGCGGUCAAUGAACGACACAAUGCUAAGUUAAACUGAAAAUGUUCAAAGGUUCAUUUUAUUAUCAAAGUAUGUAUGCAGAAUACAACUCUGAGAAUUUCUUCUCCAGAUAGCCAUAAAAUACAGAAAACCAUAGAAGUAGUUGAAAGGAAGACACCAAUCCCCCCCUCACACUUUAGUUGUAAUCACUCCCAGGGCAUGAAAAGAAAUGUGACAAAAAACUCCAAAACCCCAAACCCUUUCCUCACACAAAAACUAACAGAUCACCUACAUGGAGAAAAAACAGCUAGACCAUCAAACGCCAAACCUCCAGCCCACCAAUCAGCAAAAAGAAAGAAUGAAUGAGCACAUGAGAAAAGAAAUAGAACUGAAAGAGGACAAUAUGAACUACAGUCCAAUCCAUAAAUCACAAAAGUUUGAUAACAUCAUUGGGACCCAGCAACACAAGGGCAGCAGCAUGAGCCAGUAGCCUCUCCGAGGGAAGUGACAUGAACCACUGGCCUCUCUGACGCAGUGACUCGAACCCAGUGUCCGGUCUGAGCAAAGUGGCAUGAACCAGCAGCCUCGCCGAGGGUAGUGACACAACUGAACUGCACUAAACUGAACAUUCCUAGACUGUUUUGAUAACCUUGUGGUUUGAUGUUUUAUAUUCUGUGUUUUCGCUUGUUUUUUGCCGUUUGGGCAGUUUGUUCUUUUUUUUGUGCGUUGGGGGUUUCAUGAUUUUCUUUGAAUGAGUUUCAUAGCUUUUCUUUGUUUCGUGGCUGUUUUUGGGAAGAUGAAUUUCAGGGUGGCGUACUGCAUACAUACUUUGAAUCUUGAAUCUUGAAUGUGCUGUUAGUGAUAAUAGUCAUGAAAUUCCAGAUCCUGAUUCACAAACUCAGUUGAAGCAGGCAAUACACCACUAUCUGGCCUAGGUGUGAUCCAGCAGCAUGGCUCUUAACUAAUCAUAUAAAUAACCUGGCAAAACAUUUAUUUCCAUGAGUAAUUGGGGAUGGAUAAUAAAUGCUGAGUGCUGAGCCCUCAUCCUGUAAGUAAAUAGUUAAUGAAGGAUUGUGUACAUAUAGGAAUUCAUCCAAGGGUUGCAUUAACAGCUUUAUUUCUCUUUUAACCCUUUUUUAAACAUUGCAAAACACGUAUCUCUUUCAAUAAGGACAGCACCAUUCCCUCCACAUCACACAUUCUCCUGAUUUGCUUCUAUGCCACCAUUGAUUUAUUGCUGCUUAGGUCUAAUCCCUGGAGCUACCCAACUAAGCACACUGUAGAAGUGUCUUUACCAUAUGGAGCAGAGUGGUUUUAGGCAGAUCACCAUAACCCUCCAAAGGGACCUUAGGAGUUCAGCAGUAACUGGUAGUAACAACAGAGGUUAUAAGAAUAGUUUUCAAAAGAUAUGUCUCACCCUGAAGGCUAAGAGUAGUAAUGUUUUGGGAAUACUAUCAUCACCCACUUCCUCUUCAAACCACAUGGCAUUUUGAUGUGGAUAAAUGCUGUGGAGCCCUUAAUGGAAUUGCAUCCAUAUCCUGGAAUACGUCCGAACUGGGGAAUGCCAACAUCAUAAAGAUUAGAGUGAUUCAAAGACAAGGUCACCACUGAGCUCUUAGGAUGAGGAAUUAACUUUGUUCACAUCUUACAAAUAAACAUUUUUUCAAAAUAACCCAUAUACAACAAAAAAGCAGUAUAGACUGGAAAUAAUGUAGGUCUGGCAGCAUUUAUAACAAGGACAGGCAGAUUAUCACUUCAGUUAUGAUCCCUUACCAGAAUAGAGUUAUUGAAGAAAUCCUCAGUAUAAUAAUUCAUACAUUUGGUUACGGAGCAAGACAAUCAUCCACUGUAGAUUGUUUAGUCACUCAGUGAGAUCACAGCUGACUUAUGACCUAAUUCUGUACAUUGCCAAAACUUUCUCAAUCCAAACACAUCUGGAUAACACAAUCUGACUGAUACAAUGCAGAUUUAAAAUGAACAUUGGACCCAGCAUCAUUUUUUUUUAUAUAGGAUAGUUGAAAAUGUUCCUUCCCUUUUGUCUGUAGAAGAGUUUUCCACUUCACUUCUGUUUGUAAUGUUUAGACUGUACCUCUGAAUUUGCCAAACAGUGAAAAUAAAAUAGAAAUCACAACAUAAGUAGAAAAAUACAGCACAGGAACAAGCCCUACAGCCCACUUUGCUGAAGGAAACGCAACCUAACCGGCUAAAUCUCUUCUGUCUGUACAUGAUCCAUAUCCAUUCUUUGCCUGCAUAUUUGUGUGUAUAUCUAAAAGCCUCUUAAAUGGCACUAUCAUAUCUACUUCCAUCACCACCCUUCACAGACUGUUUAAGACUGUUUAAAAAUCAUGGUACGUGCAUCUUGCUUCAACUUUGCAAUCUCAUCCACUGAGGCAUAUCUUCAAGUAAUUGACAUUUCUACCCUGGGGGAAGUUCUGGCUGUCUACCCUAUCCACACCAAUCAUUGUUUUAUAAAUUUCUAUCACUCUUGAGGACAACGUCACUGAAUUGGUUCCAGUGAUUUGUGAGGGGAUGUCACUGAGGUUGCUCAGCUUUUAAGACAUUAUGUUUUCAUCCAAGAGAUGUAUUCUUACCCCUUCUCCUUUAGAGAUGUGUUUAGUUUCUGUAAGUAAUGUCUAUCGCCAGAAUCAGGUUUAAUAUCACUGGCAUAUAUUGAAAAAUUUGUUGUUAUGUGGCAGUAGCACAUUGCAACACUCAAUAAUAAAAGCUAUAAAUUGCAAUAAGAAAUAUAUACAGGUAGAUUAGAUUAGAUUAUGAGGACACUCAGUCCUCGUUUAUUGUCAUUUAGAAAUGCAUGUAUUAAAAAAUGAUACAAUAUUCCUCCAGAAUGAUAUCACAAGAAAACACAGGACAAACCAAGACUAAAACUGACAAAAACCACAUAAUUAUAACAUAUAGUUACAACAGCGCAAAGCAAUACCAUAAUUUGAUAAAGAGCAGACCAUGGGCACGGUUAAAAAAAAGUCUCAAAGUCCUGAUAGACUCAUCAUCUCAUGCAGACGGUAGAAGAGAGGAACUCUCCCUGCCAUGAACCUCCAAGCGCUGCCAACUUGCUGAUGCAGCACCAUCAGAAGCACCUGACCGCAGCUGACUCUGAGUUCGUCCGAGAACUUCAAACCUCUGACCAGCCCCUCCGACACAGCAUCUCCAAGCACUAUCUUCUGCCAAGCGCUUUGACUCCGCCCCGGCCGCUGAGCAACAAACAAAGCUAAGGACUCGGGGCCUUCUCCUCUGGAGAUUCUGGGCCACACAGUAGCAGCAGCAGCGAAGCAGGCAUUUCAGAAGUUUCACCAGAUGUUCCUCCAUGCUCUCAUGUCCGUCUCCAUCAAAUCAGAAUUGUGCACGGCACCCUACUUGACAAAUAACAGACAUCACCACUGGAGUGGCUGCUGCGAGCUGCCUCUCCAUAUCCGUUCUAUCUAGGUCUUUCAAUAUUCGAUAGUAUUCAAUAAGAUUCCCCUUCAUUCUUCUAAAUUCCAUUGAGUACAGGCCCAGAGUGAUUAAAUGCUCCUCAUAUGUUAACUCUUUCAUUCUUGGAAUAAUUCUUGAGAACCUGCUCUGGACUAUCUCCAAUGCUAGCACAUCUUUUCUUAGAUAAAGGGCUCAAAAGUGCUCACAAUACACCAAGUGCAGUCUAACCAUUGCCUUAUAAUGUCUCAGACUUACAUUCUUGAUUUUGUAUUCUAAUCCUCUCAAAAUAAAUGCUAACAUUGUAUUUGCCUUCCUUACCACUGACUUAACCUGAAAGCUAACCCAUAGGGAAUUCCCAAGUCCCUUUUCACCUCUGAAUUUUGAACUUUCUCCCAUUUUGAAAAUAGUCCAUACCCUUAUUCUUUCUACAAGGCGCAUGACCACGCACUUCCAAGCACAAUAUUUCAUCUGCCACUUUUUUGCCCAUUAUCCCAAUCUGUCCUUCUGCAGGCAUUCUGCUUCUUCAAUACUACCUGCCCCUCCACCUAUCUUCAUAUCACCUGCAAACUUGGCCACAAAGCCAUCAAAUCCUUCUUUCAAAUCAUUGAUAUAUAGUAUGGCAAGAAGCUGUCUCAACACCGACUACUGUGGCACACAACUAGUCACCAGCAGCCAACUAGGAAAGGUUCUCUUUAUUCCUAUAAUUUGCCUUCCGUCAGUCAUUCAAUGUUCUAUCCAUGCUGGUAUCUUUUCUGUAAUACCACGUGCCCUGAUCUUGUUAAGUAGCCUCAUGUGUGGCACCUUGUCAGAGACCAUUUGAAAAUUGAAAUAAACAACAUCUACUGAUUCUCCUUUGUCUAUCCUGCCUGUUAUUUCCUCAAAGAAUUCCAAUAAAUUUGUCAGGCAAGAUUUCUCCUUCAGGAAACCAUGAUGACUAUGUACAAACAAAAGAAAAUCUGCAGAUUCUGGAAAUCGAACCAACACACACAAAAUUAUGACUAUGGCCUAUUUUAUCAUGUACCUCCAAGUAUCCUGAAACCUCAUCCUUAAUAAUAGACUCCAACAUCUUUCCAACCACUGAUGUCAGGAUAAGUAGCUUAUAAUUUUCUUUCUUUUGCCUUCCUCCCUUCAUAAAGAGUGGAAUAACAUUUGCAAUUUUCCAGUCCUCCAAAGUCAUUUCAGGAUCUAAAGUUUCUUGAAAGGUCAUUACUAAUGCCUCCACAAUUUCUUCAGCUGCCUCUUUCAGAACCCUGGAAUUUAGUCCAUCUGGUCUAGGUGACUUAUCUACCUCAGACUUUUCAGCUUCUCCUUAGUAAUAGCUACAGCAAUCAGUUCUGCCCCCGGCACUCUUGCAUUUCUGGCAUUUCACAGUGAAGACUGAUGAAAAAUUUCAUCUGCCAUAUCUUUGCCUCCAUUACUGGAACUCCAGCGUAAUUUUCCAGUGGUCCGAUAUCCACUCUCAUCCGUCUUUUACUCUUUAUAUACUGUAUCUGAAAAAAAAACUCUUUGCAUCCUCUUUCAUAUUAUUGGCUAGUUUAUCUUCGAAUAUCAUCUUUCCUCUCUUUCUGCUUUUUUUAGUUGCCUUAUGUUGGUUUUUAAAAGUCUCUGAAUCCUCUGCCUUUCCACUCAUUUUUGCUAUAUAAUAUGCCCCCACUUUUGUUUUUAUUCUGUCUUUGAUUUUCCUUGGCAGCCUCAUCCACCUUUUAGAAUACUUCUUCCUCUUUGGGAAGAAUCUUUCCUGCACCUUCCAAAUUGCAGCAGUAACUCCAGCAAUUGCUGUCCUGCCAUCAUCCCUGCUAGUGACCCCUUCCAAUAAACUUUGUCCAGCUCCUCUCUUAUGACCCUAUAAUUCCCUUAACUACACUGCAAUAUUGAUACAUCCGAUUUUUACUUCUCCUUUUCAAACUGCAGGGUAAAUUCUUUUAUAUUAUGAUCAUAGACUCCUAAGGAUUCCUGUACCUUAAGCUGCCAAAUCAAACCUGUGUCAUUACGUAUCAUCCAAUCCAGAAUUGCCAUUCCCCUUGCUCUCAACUGGAAGUUGCUCUAAAAAGCCAAAUCACACUCAUUCCACAAUUUCCCUCUCUUGGUAUCCAGCACCAACCGGAUUUGCCCAAUCUACUUGCAUAUUGAAUCCCCUAUGACUAUCACAACAUUGCCCUUUUUAUAUGCCUUUCCUGUCUCCCAUUUUAAAUUAUAACCUACUUCCUGGCUACUGUUCGGAGGCCUGUAUAUAACUCACAGCAAAGUCUUUUUACUCUUGCAGUUUCUUAACUCUACCCACAAGCAUUCGACAUCUUCCAAUCCUAUGUCACCUCUUUUUAAGGAUUUGAUUUUACUUUUUCCCAGCAGAGCGACCCCUUACCUUUCGAUGCAAUGUGUAUCCUUGUAUGUUAAACUCCCAACUAUGAUCUUCUUUUAGCCAUGACUCAGUGAUGCACAUAGCAUUAUACUUGCUAAUCUCUAACUGUGCUACAAGAUCAUCUACCUCAUUCUGUAUAUUGUGUGCAUUCAAAUGUAACACCUUUGGACUUGUAUUCAUUACCUAUUUUGUAUUUUGGCCCCCUGUCACUCUUUAACUCAUCCCACUGCCUGCAAUUUUGCCCAAUCAUCUGUCUGUCCUUUUUCAUAGUCUCACUAUACACUGCAUCAAGUUUAUACAAACUGCUCCAUCAUUAGCCUUAUCACUCUGCUUCUCAUCCCCUAACAAAUUGGGUUAAAACCUCCGCAACAGCUCUAUCAGAAUUGAGGGCCUCGGUCAGUCAGAGUUUACCAUGGAUUUUGCAUCCUACCUGUCUAGAUAUGCAAGCCUAUGCACUACGCUAUGGAGUGUAAGCUGUUGCCCAUGUAGCGAGCACCCUGUCUCCAUACAUCUGAUGAACCCAAAGGAACGGCAGAGACUGAUACAGUACAGUAUGAGAAGCAUUACAGGAGUUGUAGGUCAGUGUUGAACUCGAUGUAGGAAGGCUUUAGGGACUCCAGCUCCAGAAUUUUCCCUCUGGCUUUACACCUGAAGACUUUACCAUGAGUGGGUAUAGCUGAAGGCACAGGAGGUUUGACAUCAGAGAUUUCCUUCUCCUAAGUGAGCUGCCAACCAUGGCCGAUGAGCCCCAUCUGCCCGAAUUGACUGGAUUUAAGGCUCCUGUCAGUAGAAACGGUUCCGCUGGGCUUAGUAGCCAAGCCACACAUGAAGACCAGGAGCUCGACUUGGUUGUCAAAGGCUGUUUGAGGCGCACACCUUUGGGGCAUUUAAUAGGUAGUGGGAGUUUGUCCCCAUUACCACUCAUGGCUAUAACAACCUUAAGGAGCCUAUCAAAGCUACUUGCAAUAAUAUUGGUCCCUCUCGGGUUCAGGUGUAAUCUGUCCUUUUUGUACAGGUCAUACCUUCUCCAGGGGAGACCCCAGUUAUCUAGAAAUCUGAAACCCUGUCCCCUGCAUCAGUUCUUCAGCUACAUGUUCAUCUGCUAAAUCAUCCUAUUCAAACCUUCACUGGUGUGUGGCACAGCCAACAAUCUAGAGGUUACUAUUCUGGAGGCCCUGCUUUUCAAAUUUCUAACUCCCUAUGUUCUCCCUUCAGGACCUCCUCCAUUUUCCUACCUACGUCAUUGGCAGCAAGAUAUACCACAAUUUCUGGCUGUUCAUGUUCCCCAUUUAGAAGGCUGUGAACCAAAUCUGAAACCUCCCUGAUCUUGGCACCUGGGAGGCAACAUACCAUCCAGGUCUCUUUUUCAUGUACACAGAACCUGCUGUCUGCUGCUCUAAUUAUGGAAUCCCUAUCACCAUCUUCUCUCCCUUCCUCUCUGAGCCAUAUAGACAAACUCAGAGCCAGAGAUGAGAUCACUGUGGCUUCCCCUGGUAGAUUGCCCUACCCAACAGUAUCCAAAAUGGUGUACUUAUUGUUCAGGGUAAUAGCCACAGGGAUACUCUGCACUGGCUGCCUAUUCCCUUUCCGUCUCCUGUCAGUUACCUAGGUACCUACCUACUGCAGCUUAGUGGCGACUACCUCCCUGUAGCUUAUAUCUAUCUCCUCCACAUUUUCCCAAAUGAGAUGAAGGCCAACUUG